AUGUUUAAGAAUACAUUCCAGUCCGGGUUUCUAUCGAUUCUCUACAGCCUUGGGACCAAGCCGUUGCAGAUAUGGGACAAGGAAGUUGUUGAUGGGCACAUUAAAAGACCUCAGGAUGAAGAUAUCAAGUCUAAUGUACUUGAAAUUGUUGGAACAAAUGUGCAAUCAACCUACAUCACCUGCCCAGCUGACCCUGCUGCCACUCUUGGAAUUAAGCUUCCAUUUCUUGCCCUUGUUGUGAAGAAUCUUAAAAAAUACUUCACAUUUGAGGUCCAAGUUUUGGAUGACAAGAAUGUCCGCCGACGAUUCCGAGCAUCAAAUUUUCAAUCCGUCACAAGGGUGAAGCCAUAUAUCUGCACGAUGCCGUUGAAGCUUGAUGAUGGCUGGAACAACAUCCAGUUGAAUCUCACUGACCUGACAAAGAGAGCCUAUGGCACAAACUACGUCGAGACACUGCGAGUGCAAGUCCACGCAAACUGCCGGCUCCGCAGGGUCUAUUUCUCCGACCGCCUCUACUCGGAAGAGGAGCUGCCGGCCGAGUUCAAGCUCUACCUUCCAAUUCAGAAAUCAUAG
rnacentral:rRNA from 1 species